rnacentral:rRNA from 1 species
UCCAUGGUAAUGUAACUGAAUACAGAGAUGUUGGCAGGAGUCCUGGAGAGUUCUCUUUCUUCUUGAUGAUCUAUCAUUCUGAAAUCAGUUUGUCUGAAGCUAGGGUUCAUGGCCAGCAGAGCCCCACAUCUUUGUGGGGUCUGGUAUACUUCUGAUGACUCUUGAAAAUCUGUGGAAAGGAAUAGUUUUCAUGCCAGAUUGUACUUAUAACUGCAGCAGGUCUCCAAGAUGAAAAGCCUCUAGUUGAUAGAACAAUGUAGAUAAGAGAAGUUGGCAAAAUAGAUCUGUAACUUUGGGAAAAGGAUUGGCUCUAAGAAUCAGGCACAUUGGGUCUUAGGGGAAAACCUCUGAAGCAGAAGGGCACUAGCCAGGCAACUGGCAGGUGCCUUCCAGCAUCAGAGUGCAGAUGCCCUUGGCAGGCUUCAGCUGUCUGGUGUGUGAUUAACAACCAACUUAGAACUGGUAGAGACAAGGGGAAUCUGACUGUCUAAUUAAAAUAUAGCAUUGUGAUGGCCAGAAAGUGGUGUUGAUGCAAUGUGAUUUCUGUCCAGUGCUCUGAAUGUCAAAGUGAAGAAAUUCAAUCAAGCAUGGGUAAAUGCCAGAAGUAACUAUAACUCUCUUAAGAUAGUCAAAUGCCUUGUCAUCUAAUUAGUGACAUGCAUGAAUGAAUUAACAAGAUUCCUACUGUCCCUAUCUACUAUCUAGUGAAAUCACAGCCAAGGGAAUGAGCUUGACAAAAUCAGUGGGGAAAGAAGACUCUGUUGAGCUUGACUCUAGUUUGACAUUGUAAAAAGACAUAUUGGGUGUAGAAUAGGUGGGAGCUUUGGUGCCAGUGAAAUAUCACUACCUUUAUUGUUUUUUUACUUAUUCAAUAAAGCAGAACUGGGCUUUACCACCCAACUUCUAGUGUUAAGGUUCUUUGUGGGCUGAUCUGGAUUGAAGACAUUAUCAGAUGGGGAGUUUGGCUGGAGCAGCACAUCUGUUAAAUCAUAAUGCAGAUGUUCUAAGAGAAACUCAUGGAGAAUAGAAAUCUCCAGUAGAACAAAAGAGUAAAAGUUCUCUUGAUUUUGAUUUUCAGUAUGAAUACAAAUCAUGAAAGUGUGGUCUAUUGAUUCUUUAAUCCCUCAAAAUUUAAGGCUAGAGGUGCCAGAAAAGUUACCACAGGGAUAACUGACUUGUGACAGUCAAGUAUUUAUAGUGAUGUUGCUUUUUGAUCCUUUGAUGUCAGCUCUUUCUAUUAUACUGAAGCAGAAUUUGAUAAGUGUUGGAUUGUUCACCUACUAAUAGAGAAUGUGAGCUGGAUUUAGAUCAUUGUGAGACAGAUUAGUUUUACCCUACUGAUGAAGGUUACUGCAAUGGUAAUUCAAUUUAGUACAAGAGGAAUCAUUGAUUCAGAUAAUUGGUUUUUGGGGCUGUCUGACCAGGCAGUGCUGUGAAGCUACCAUCUGCUGGAUUAUGACUGAAUGCCUCUAAGUCAGAAUCUGUACCAGAAUGUGGUGAUGUUACCCUGCAUGUUGU